rnacentral:rRNA from 1 species
UUCCAGUACACUAACUAUGUUACGACUUACCUCUUCUUUGGAAGAGGGUGACGGGCGAUAUGUACACCUAAAUUCAAUUUCGCUUUAGAUUUUUAUUAAAAAACUACUUCCAAAUCCUUUUUCAUUCUGUCUUUAGAUAAAAAAUCCUUUAAUUAGUUUAAUAUGUAAUUAAUUUUUAGACUAUUAUUAUCUUCACCUUGACCUGACUUAUUAAAGAUAUUAAGACAGAAGAUGAAAAUUCUAUCUUUAGACGGCGGUAUAAAAGAAAAAAAAUAGAGAAAAACUGAACGGGUAAAGUCGAGAAAAAACAAAUUCCUCUGGUAAGAAGAAAGGCCGCC